UUAAGUGCCUCAAAGCUCUUUUUUUCAUAAUGGGUUCCUGGAGGAACCAUUUCAGUCUUUGCAGUUCUUGCAAGAACUUAUGGGAUCCUUGAAGCACUUUGUUUCCAGUUCUGAGGUUCUGGAGUCACCCUUUCAUUACACUGAGACCUCAAAGUGCUCUGGAGGUUCCUGGAGGAACUCAAAUUUUUUAAAAGGGUUUUUGUAAGAUCUGUUAACAUUGAAAUGGUUCCUGGAAGCUCUGACUUGUAUAAGCCAGCAUCUGGAGGAACCCAGAGAUUCAUGUGACAGAAAUGAAAUAGGACUGAUUAUUAUUAUUGUUGUUAUUAUUAUUAUUAUUUACUUUUUUGGAAUGGUAUGGAACGUAAUCACUUUUGUGGCACUUGGCAUGUGAAAACAAAAAACUUGGGCAUGAUUAGAAAAGACUAAAUAGUCUUACAAAUUGUCAAAAAAAGGGACAUGCAAAAUCUAAAAAUCAGCCACGUAUAUCUAAAAAUUAUGUCUGAAAACACUGUUUUCAGCAAUAGGGAAUAUACACACAAGGCCAUACAGGCAGGCAGUGGCUACACCAUGGUAUUACAGAUUAUUUUCUUUCUUUCUUUCUGUCAGAUUGCACUUUUAUGCCUCCAUUUGUUGGAUUUUAAAUACCUUUGUUGUAUAACUUAAAUACUGCAAUAACUGAAAAAAAGUUUUUAGUUUAGAAACAAAUGUAAAAUUAUUUGAAGGUAGAUAUUGUUUUCCCUGAAACUUUAAAGCAAACAUUAAAAAUAUUAUUGAACUAAAUAUGGCUCAACACAUUGAUUUAAUUAAAAAUACACUAAUUAUAACAAUCAGUACAAGUGUAAUAUUUAUAAUUUUUAUUUCCCUAAUGAAAUAACUUUCAAUUAUUCAGAAAUAAUUGUUUAACAAUUAAUAUAAUAAAAAAGUAUGCUGUUGUCAGUCAGAAGAAAAUGUCCUCGAGCACCUGCUGUCUGCUCGCGCGCGCACAAGUGCGAUUUCAAAUACAAAGUAUCAUUAACGGUUCCUCUCCUCAAAGAAACAACCACAGCGCUGGACUGUCGAACAAAAGGUGAGUAAAUUCUCCAAAAUAAAUAUACAGAUUUACUAUUUGUACACAAAUUUCUGUACUGACACGCUUAACUGUAUGUUUUUAUAUUUAAAUGUUUGUUGUAUACCAUUUUAACCGCUAAUUUAAUAAUCGCGAUGCUAGCUAUCAUAAUGAACUUAGUGGGGCGAAAUGGAGACUAUUAAAUCACAAACGGCGAUUUUUAGUCAGCUUUGUUCAUUAUGUUCAUUGUAACUCUGUUCUUUUCUGAACUAAUUUGUUGUCGUUUACGUUUGUUAAUCGUUACCCAUCCAUGUUACAUGUAGACUAUCUAAUAGCUUAUUUUUCGAUUCAUUUAACUUACAGAAGAAAAACUGUUUUUGUCCUUUUCUCUCCUCAGAACGUGUACGUUACAUACUUGAGUUCUCUUAAAAUGUCACAGGGUUCACUGAGCAGCACUAAUCAGUUAAUGAAGACAUAUGUUUCAUGAAUAUGGCUCUGUAGUGGACUGCUGGAGCUGCUGAUGUCUGUUGCUGGCUGACAAUAAAGUGAUCUCUUUGGACUUACCUCAUCUUUUGAAGGUGUGUAAAUAACAACAAUUGAGGAGAAACAUCAGAAACCGAUCUAAAACAUUCAAUUACUUAUAGUUUAUAUGUUUUAUUUUUUUCCACUUUUAUAUUCUUCUGAGAAAUCCGAGCCUUGCUCCUGAUCCUGCUGUGCUGGACUGUAUAUGAUUAAUUGAGAAUCUUACACUAACUGUGGUAAUGGAGACCCAUUUGGUGAGAGCAGCACUGCAGAUUUUCCUGAUGGUGAGGAGCUACUUGCUGACGAACCCACCAACAUGAUUUCACUUUAUAAGUGCCUUUGUUCUAUUCAACAUUAUACAGAAAAGCUGUUAAACGUACAGCAAAGUGUACUAUUUUUCUGCUGCUAUUUGUUGGGUAUUCAAGAGGAGAUCAUCAAGCUACCUACAGCUGUCUUGAGGCUUAUCAAUUUCUUAACUUCCUGUGUGAAUUUUCCCAAUAUGUGACCUCUAUUUAGAACAAGAAAGAAUGUUAAUGACUGCGAUGUACAUUAAAUUUGCUCAUUUGAAUUGUACUAUUUUUGAGGUAUGAUUGUUUUAAAGUUCUAAGAUAUUUGAGUCACAUUUAUUUGUUUAUG